AACAGGACACAGUGCUGCUGCCUGCUAGCUGUUUAGGAUUUCAAGAAUGUUACACAGCUGCUGCACAGGAAUGUUCUCACAGAAAAUGUCCAAAAUGCAUCUAUAUAGUAAACUCCAACAAAGAUGUAAACUGAGGUUUUCAGCCUUGCAGGGAAGUGGGCUGAUGAACUGGAUUCACACCAAAUCAUGCAAAUAAUGCAGUUCCCUAAGGGUAACAAUUUGUAGCAUGCCCCAGCCACUCAGCUCCUUUGAUUUGCUAAGCAUUCCUUGCAUACAAAUAACCAGGAACUCCCCUCUGCAUCUCCAGAUUCUUUUCCAGAACAUUUUCUUCUGCCUAAGUUUUGGUACAGCAGAUGUGUACAGGAAAACAAAAAACCUCUUAAAUUGUGCCACAUAUCAAUGGUAUUUUGUGUGAAAGUUUCCCAUGUAUUGAGAAGACAGCAGCAAUUUCUCUAGCCCUAACAUAUUGAUUAUGUAUGCUUUGCAAGGAGUCUGUGGGAAUCUGAGUUGUGUUGGUAAGAAAAUUCCUUUGCUGAAAAAUAAAUCUUUUUUGUUGAACAAAAUAAAACAUUUGAAAUGAA